CCCCACCCAUGACACUAUAAGCACAACCUUUCUCGUUUUCCACAUUCUGAGACUGGUCACACCUACAUCCUCCCCACAGGCCGGAACUGCAUUCCAGUAAUAGGGAAUGAUUCAGCAGCGUUCAUAACGAGGCUUACAGGUGACACCCACACCUCGGCCUGCCCUUCUGCGAGUGUGACACUUACCAUGAGAACCUGAACGAGAAAUGAGACCAGGAGUGAGACCAGGAAGAAGGUUUCAGAGGGAGGGCCUCACAGAGGCCCAGGUCCACGACAGGAGGGGCAAGCACUUUCCGGAACUCCAAGAGACGCUCGCCAGGACACAGAGCAGGCCCAUUUUUUACUCAGGCAGGAAUGUUCCUCUUGGUUAUUAAAGGAUGGCCGUGUAGGGGCUGAAGAGACGCGGCUGCCUGCUCUUGCUGAGGACCCAGGUUUGGUUCCCAGACCUUUCAUGGUGGCUCAGAACUGCCGCCACUCCCAGUUCCCAGGCAUCGGAUGCCUUCCUGUCCCCCGUCUGCCCCAGUGACUCCCAUCCACUCCUCUGCCCUCCAUUGCCCCCAGUGACUCCCCUCCCCUCCUCUGUCCCCCAGUGGCUCCCAUCCCCUCCCCUGUCCUCCAUCGCCCCCAGUGACUUCCAUUCCCUCUAGCUGGUAGAGCUUUGGCCCCCCACCCCCCCCAAAAAAAACCAGCAGAAACAGCCACGCAGGGAGUCAACCUUCUCUUUGAUAAUAUGGUUUAUUGUCCAUUGACAAAGCAAUCCCUCAAAAAUAAAAAUAAAAACUGAUACAAAGCAUCAGAGACACGCAUAGUCGACCUGUUGACUUUGAACAACUCUCAGGUGUUGUCAGCAUGGGGUGCAGGGAGGUUCGUCUCAGACUUCAUAUCCCAGCAUGAACACAGUGCUUCCCCUCCCCCCCACCAACAACCAAGAGUUCAAACGGAAACAAAAUCAACAAAGC